rnacentral:tRNA from 1 species
AGGAAUUUAGGUUAAACCAGACCAAGAGCCUUCAAAGCUCUAAGCAAGUAACCAUUACUUAAUUCCUG